UGAAUCGCAGCAUUUACAUAUUUGGAUGGU
rnacentral:piRNA from 1 species